GUCUUCUUGCCUAUGCUUAGCUUCGAGUGCGAUCGGCACAUUUUUCCUCCGGCUCGUUUUCAGUUUUUGGUACUUGUUUGACUUUUUGAGGAUAAAUUAUGUUCCUACCUGCACGUCCUGUCCGAAGUGGCAUCCCGGGGGAACGAACCUCGCAGCAAGCUGCGACCAUUAAUGCUGAAAGUGUUUCACGGGCUGUUUGGAGGUAGAGCCGGUGUGACGUGAAGCAGUGCUGGCCAUGCAGAUGUUCCAUUGCAACAUCAGGAAGAAGCAUGUUGACAAAGAAGGAUAAAAUGUGCCGGGGAGAGUGGAGAGUGGCGACUCUGGACCAUGCAUACCAACUGGAGGGUCCGUGGCAGCCACUUCUCUGGGUGUGAUUUCCAAACCUCAAGGCAUGCUGGGUAUGCAGCGCUGAACACUCUGAAGCUGUGUGAGACUCUGCAGCUGUCCAUUUUCCCACAAUCCUUUAGCACCGCCAUUCCGGGAUAUUAUCAUUAUAACUAGUGUCAUAUCUUUCAUUAUAAUGCAAAGUAGAAGGCAUCGCAAUAGUCUGUUGUCCAAAAUACUUGUGUGUACGUAGCUUUAAUGCUAAUGAGUUGCCUUUCUGGAAGAGCUGCUGUUGUGCAAUCAAUACACUUUUUACAUGAUCCUCAUGGGAUUUUUUUCCUCUGCUUUACAUGCAAAUACAGUAAAUACAUUUCCGCAAAGUACGAAAUAUUACAAUUAAUUAUUACAAUAUAUUUGAUAAAUUUGCAUAGCUCGAGUAGUGUUGUCUCGAUACCAAUAUUUUGGUAAUUGUACCGGUACCAAAAUGUAUUUCGAUACUUUUCGUUACCGGUACUUUUCGAUACUUUUCUAAAUAAAGGGGACCACAAAAAAUGACAUUAAUGGCUUUAUUUUAAUAAAAAAUCUUAAGGUACAUUCAACGUAUGUUUUCUUAUUGCAAGUUUGUCCUUAAAUAAAAUUGUGAACAUACAAGACAACUUGUCUUUUAGUAGUAAGUAAGCAAACAAAGGCUCCUAAUUUAGCUGCUGACAUAUGCAGUAACAUAUUGUGUCAUUUUGCAUUCUAUUAUUUUGUCAAAAUUAUUAAGAACAAGUGGUAGAAAAUGAAUUAUUAAUCCACUUGUUCAUUUACUGUUAAUAUCUGCUUACUUUCCCUUUUAACAUGUUCUAUCUACACUUCUGUUAAAAUGUAAUAAUCACUUAUUCUUCUGUUGGUUGGAUACUUGACAUUAGUUUUGGAUGAUACCACAAAUGUGGGUAUCAAUCCAAUACAAAGUAGUUACAGGAUCAUACUUUGGUCAU